rfam:Chloroflexi bacterium RBG_13_50_21 RBG_13_scaffold_1616, whole genome shotgun sequence.
AAUAACCUUCGGGGCAGGGUGAUAACGAAAAUUUCGUUGAUUCCCGACCGGUGGUAAAGCCCACGAGCCAUUCAUUUGGCAUGAUCCGGUGAAAUUCCGGGGCCGACGGUACAGUCCGGAUGAAAGAAGGUCGUA